AUUGAACGCUGGCGGCAUGCUUUACACAUGCAAGUCGAACGGCAGCGGGGGCUUCGGCCCGCCGGCGAGUGGCGAACGGGUGAGUAAUGCAUCGGAACGUGCCCAGUCGUGGGGGAUAACACAUCGAAAGAUGUGCUAAUACCGCAUACGUCCUGAGGGAGAAAGCGGGGGAUCUUCGGACCUCGCGCGAUUGGAGCGGCCGAUGUCGGAUUAGCUAGUUGGUGGGGUAAAAGCCCACCAAGGCGACGAUCCGUAGCGGGUCUGAGAGGAUGAUCCGCCACACUGGGACUGAGACACGGCCCAGACUCCUACGGGAGGCAGCAGUGAGGAAUAUUGGUCAAUGGACGCAAGUCUGAACCAGCCACGUCGCGUGAAGGAAGACGGCCCUACGGGUUGUAAACUUCUUUUAUACGGGAAUAAAGUGCCCCACGCGUGGGUUUUGCAUGUACCGUAUGAAUAAGGAUCGGCUAACUCCGUGCCAGCAGCCGCGGUAGUA
rnacentral:rRNA from 1 species